UAGUAUACUGAAAGUGGGAAAAAGGAGAUACACCGCAUUCAAGGAGGGGUAUGAAGGGAAGGAGACGGCACUCCUUGUGGAUAGAUACACAUUUAUGGACCUGUACCCCUGCUCCACAAGUGAACUGAAAGCUUUGGGAUACAAGGAUGUACCGAGAGCCAAACUGGCAGCACUAAUCCCAGACCCUGUGGUAGCUCCAUCCAUAGCCCCUUCGCUGAAAGACGAUGUUUAAAACCAGAGUAUCCCAAACCUGACACGUCCCAGAUGAUCCCUUUCCAGCCGCGACAUUUAGCUCCACCUGGACUCCAUCCUGUUCCUGGCGGAGUAUUCCCAGUCCCUCCAGCUGCAGUGAUCCUAAUGAAGCUGCUUCCUACCCCUAUUUACUUCCAGGAUCUUCCCUCACCCAUUUCUCCCACCCCUGAUUCCGACAAAUGAUGGCACUUAAUUUUAAUGAAACUGCUGAAUUGCAUCAAUAUGUCUCAGUAGGGCGGGCCUGAUACAUUCCAUUCAGGUAA